CCUACGGGUGGCAGCAGUGAGGAAUAUUGGUCAAUGGGCGCGAGCCUGAACCAGCCAAGUAGCGUGAAGGAUGACUGCCCUACGGGUUGUAAACUUCUUUUAUGAGGGGAUAAAGUGAGGCACGUGUGCCUUUUUGUAUGUACUUUAUGAAUAAGGAUCGGCUAACUCCGUGCCAGCAGCCGCGGUAAUACGGAGGGUCCGGGCGUUAUCCGGAUUUAUUGGGUUUAAGGGGAGCGUAGAUGGGUUGUUAAGUCAGUUGUGAAAGUUUGCGGCUCAACCGUAAAAUUGCAAUUGAUACUGGCAGGCUUGAGUACAGUUGAGGUAGGCGGAAUUCGUGGUGUAGCGGUGAAAUGCUUAGAUAUCACGAAGAACUCCGAUUGCGAAGGCAGCUUACUAAACUGCCACUGACAUUGAUGCUCGAAAGUGUGGGUAUCAAACAGGAUUAGAUACCCCAGUAGUC
rnacentral:rRNA from 1 species